GCGUGUAGGAUGAAGGCCCUCGGGUUGUAAACUACUUUUGUACGGAACGAAAAGCUCUCUUCUAAUAAAGGAGAGUGAUGACGGUACCGUAAGAAUAAGCACCGGCUAACUACGUGCCAGCAGCCGCGGUAAUACGUAGGGUGCGAGCGUUAAUCGGAAUUACUGGGCGUAAAGCGUGCGCAGGCGGUUAUGUAAGACAGAGGUGAAAUCCCCGGGCUCAACCUGGGAACGGCCUUUGUGACUGCAUAGCUAGAGUACGGUAGAGGGGGAUGGAAUUCCGCGUGUAGCAGUGAAAUGCGU
rnacentral:rRNA from 1 species